UACGUAGGGUGCGAGCGUUGUCCGGAAUUAUUGGGCGUAAAGAGCUUGUAGGCGGUCUGUCGCGUCUGCUGUGAAAACCCGGGGCUCAACCCCGGGCCUGCAGUCGAUACGGGCGAGCUAGAGUUCGGCAGGGGAGACUGGAAUUCCUGGUGUAGCGGUGAAAUGCGCAGAUAUCAGGAGGAACACCGGUGGCGAAGGCGGGUCUCUGGGCCGAUACUGACGCUGAGGAGCGAAAGCGUGGGGAGCGAACAGG
rnacentral:rRNA from 1 species